CCAGUCCUCGAACCCUUCACGCUAACCUUCACGAUAUCCCCUGCACCCGCGACAUUGGAGAUCAAAACCAAAUUGAAGUAACGGAAACCGUUGACGGUGAACCUGAUACCGCCUCUCUUUCGGCAUGGCACCCGGCGGUAGGCAACAGGGACGAUGCCGGAACGGUACUCGGCGAUCUUAAGGAACAUGGGCAUGGCGAGGUCGAAGUGGGGGCGAGGAGGGUUGCACCAUCCACCAUUGUCAUUAGGAAGAGCAAAAUUUGGUGGACAAAAGUUUGUAGCAGUAAUGAAAAUGGAAGGGCUGCCUGAGUGACACCAUUUUGGCUCAUUUGCGCACUUGAUUUCAUAGCAAGCACCGCAACUCAGACCAUUGUUG
rnacentral:misc_RNA from 1 species